rnacentral:rRNA from 1 species
AUUGAACGCUGGCGGCAGGCCUAACACAUGCAAGUCGAGCGGCAGCGGGAAAGUAGCUUGCUACUUUUGCCGGCGAGCGGCGGACGGGUGAGUAAUGCCUGGGAAAUUGCCCAGUCGAGGGGGAUAACAGUUGGAAACGACUGCUAAUACCGCAUACGCCCUAAGGGGGAAAGCAGGGGACCUUCGGGCCUUGCCGGAUUGGAUAUGCCAAGGGGGGAUUAGCUAGUUGGUGAGGUAAUGGCUCACCAAGGCGACGAUCCCUAGCUGGUCUGAGAGGAUGAGCAGCCACACUGGAACUGAGACACGGUCCAGACUCCUACGGGAGGCAGCAGUGGGGAAUAUUGCACAAUGGGGGAAACCCUGAUGCAGCCAUGCCGCGUGUGUGAAGAAGGCCUUCGGGUUGUAAAGCACUUUCAGCGAGGAGGAAAGGUUGAUGCCUAAUACGUAUCAACUGUGACGUUACUCGCAGAAGAAGCACCGGCUAACUCCGUGCCAGCAGCCGCCGCUG